AUUUUUCCAGAGUGGACAGUCUCUAUAAACCAGAAUAAUCAUGUCCUUUUUUUUUCAUGUCAGGAACAACUUGAGUCACUUCUGGAGUGAGAGAAUUGGCCGUCUGCAAGGACGUUGCCCAGGGGACGCCCAGAUGUUUUGAUGUUUUUACCAUCCUUGUGGGAGGCUUCUCUCAUGUCCCCGCAUGGAGCUGGAGCUGAUGGAGGGAGCUCAUCCGCACUCUCCCCGGGUGGGAUUCGAACCUGGCAGCUUUCAGAGUCUUCUAACUCUAUCAUCAUCAACCCCCUGCCAUCUCCAGAAGACCAUGAAGACGUGAUACAGUGGAGCACUAAAUAAUUUUGAAUUAAUUGGAUGGUAAUAAAAAAUAUAACCAUCCAAUGUGUUUUUGUUAUUUGGCACAGACUGCCCACUGUAUGGGCUUGCUAUGAAUUCUCUCUGUCAGAAUUUCUAUUAAAAGGUGCUACUUCUAUUAACAUGGCAAUAUGAAAAUUGAAUGAACCUUUGAGAAAUGGGGCAUGUGAGAAAUUCUCACCGUUUCUCUAUUUCUUUUAAUUUUAGCCUACUGCAUUUAAGCUGAGGAAGACAGAAAGAGAUGAACUUCUUAAAAGUGGGGCUGGUUAAUAUUCUAAAACGUUAACACAUUUUAAAGAAUUGCAGGACUACACAAAAUCUGAGGUAAUACCCUUGAAAUGAAAAACGUUAGUUAUGGCAGCAGAUGAUGCACAUAAUUCAGAGACUCAAAUAAGAAGUGGGUAAAAUGAAGGAAAAGAAGGAUGGGGGAGAAAAAGCUGCUGCUAUAUUGCAUAUUAAUAGGGAUCCAAUCCAUCAUACACUCUGUGAUCAGGCUCCAGAGGAGAGGUUCAGAUUCAUUUCUUAUAACUUAAGCAGAAAUGUGGUGUGUGACAUUUUUCCCACCAUGCAAAUUCACAUAUGCUGAAUAUCUAUGUUCUUAAUAUUAAUUAAAAGCAUAUAAUACAUGUCAAAACCCUCUCCUAAUUAUUUUUCAGCCUCAUUCUCCUUGUAUCAGCAUGCAAUUGAUCCUCCCACUUAUGUUUCAGUUACCCAACAUUAGAAGAUGCUUUCUCAUUGAAACCAGAAAUUAGGGGGGGCUAAGUAUGACUGUGAACAUAUCUGUCCUGGGGAGAUAUUACAAGAGGUCUUGAGUCUGAAAUCCAGCUAGUUCCAAACUAAAUCAGACUGGAAAUUGUGUAGCUCUCUGGAUAUUGUGGAUUGCAAUUACUAGCAUUCUUUAUCAUUGGUUCUGAGUUAGUUUCUUGGUGCAUGAAAAACUUGGGCAAUGAUAUAUAAACUUUGUGAAAACACUGUCUAGCAGAUAAUUUAUACUAUCUGUUCAGAGAAGGGGAGUGGGAAGGGAAAGGGAAGAAAAAAGAACGAAUCACACACCGUGUUUUCAGUGAAUCAUGAUACUGAUAAACAGAAGUGGCAUACUCUAGUAUCUUUUUUUUCGUGUCAGGAGCAACCUGAGUUGCUUCUGGUGUGAGAGAAUUGGCCAUCUGCAAGGACGUUGCCCAGGGGACGCCUAGAUGUUUUUUGAUGUUUUUACCAUCCUUAUGGGAGGCUUCUCUCAUGUCCCCGCAUGGAGCUGGAGCUGAUAGAGGGAGCUCAUCUGCAUCCUCCCCAGGUGGGAUUCGAACCUGGCAGCCUUCAGAUCAGCAACCCAACCUUCAAGUCACAAGGCUUUAAUCCACUAGGCCACGGGGAAUGGUGUGGUCAAGGACCAAUACAUUUAGCUAGGUGGCAGUGAAGUAAUAUCUUCACUGCCACCUAGCUAAAUGGGGCCGGGCUGUGGCGCAGCUGUUGAGCAGCUUCCUUAAAUCACUCUGACCAUGAGGUCAUGAGUUCGAGGCCAGCCCGUGGCGGGGUGAGCACCCGUCAAUUAAAAAUAAAAAAUAGCCCCUGCUCGUUGCUGACCUAGCAACCCGAAAGAUAGUUGCAUCUAUCAAGUAGGAGAUAAGGUACCACUUAUAAAGUGGGGAGCCAAGAUUAACUAAUUUACGACCUGGAAUGAGGAAGUGCCGUCAGUGUGGAUGAUGAAGCAGCUGCUCCCCCCUGUGGCCAGAAUCGAACAUCCCCUCAGAAGGUUAACUUGCCUCUGCGUGUGUCUCUCAGUCUCUGUUUGAUGUGUUUAUGGGCAUUGAAUGUUUGCCCUAUGUGUGUUAUAAUGUGAUCCGCCCUGAGUCCCCUUCGGGGUGAGAAGGGCGGAAUAUAAAUACUGUAAAUAAAUAAAUAAAUAAAUAAAUAUCUGGAAGUAACCGGCGGUCAGCUGCUGGGAUCCGACCAUUGUCAAUUGGUGGCAGUGGCGGCACAUAUGCUAAAGCAUGCAAGCCAAAUUUAAAACUCAGUACACAAAGCCACUCAAAAUUGGAGGGAAACUCCAACUUAAAGAGUGAUGGCUAUUAUGUAGACAGGCCCCUUCCUUAUACUGAUGCACAGAAAAGACGCGCUAAAAACUUGUGGUGAAGUAAAAACACAUUUGUAAAGUUUAUUUGAACUAGAACAAAAAGGUUGUGUAUUGGUUUCAGAAGAUUAACAUAUUGUUUUUUAAAAAAACAAAAUAGUUUCUC
ensembl:lncRNA